GGUUCUGUUGGUGACUUGGUUCUGAUGGUGACUUUGUGUUCAGACAGUGUUCAGUUAACCUUAAGUUGGAUUUAUGUUCUGAUUUUGACUGAAGCUUCGACCUAGUGAUCAGGGAUUGCACAAACAGCCAGUCCAGUCUGCAUCAUUUGCAUCAUAGCAUAUUUAUUUUUCAAAAGAAACGCAAUGAAAAAAUCAAAAAAAAAAAAAGAAGAGAAAA
rnacentral:lncRNA from 1 species